GAUGAACGCUGGCGGCGUGCCUAAUACAUGCAAGUCGAGCGAACAGACGAGGAGCUUACUCCUCUGACGUUAGCGGCGGACGGGUGAGUAACACGUGGAUCACCUACCUAUAAGACUGGGAUAACUUCGGGAAACCGGAGCUAAUACCGGAUAACAUGUUGAACCGCAUGGUUCAACAGUGAAAGACGGUCUUGCUGUCACUUAUAGAUGAAUCCGCGUCGCAUUAGCUAGUUGGUAAGGUAACGGCUUACCAAGGCAACGAUGCGUAGCCGACCUGAGAGGGUGAUCGGCCACACUGGAACUGAGACACGGUCCAGACUCCUACGGGAGGCAGCAGUGGGGAAUCUUGCUCAAUGGGCGAAAGCCUGACGGAGCAACACCGCGUGAGUGAAGAAGGUCUUCGGAUCGUAAAGCUCUGUUGUUAGGGAAGAACAAAAGUGGAAGUAACUAUGCACGUCUUGACGGUACCUAAUCAGAAAGCCACGGCUAACUACGUG
rnacentral:rRNA from 1 species